rnacentral:rRNA from 1 species
AACGCGAAGAACCUUACCUGGCCUUGACAUGUAUCUCUAAGUUGGUGAAAGCCAGCGACUGGAGCAAUCCAGAAUUUACACAGGCGCUGCAUGGCUGUCGUCAGCUCGUGUCGUGAGAUGUUGGGUUAAGUUCCGCAACGAGCGCAACCCCUGUGAUCUGUUGCCACCGGCGCAAGCCGAGCACUCUGAUCAGACUGCCCUGUGAAACGGGGAGGAAGGUGGGGAUGACGUCAAGUCAGUAUGGCCCUUACGGCCAGGGCUGCACACGUACUACAAUGCAUUAUACAGAGAGGACCGAAGUCGCGAGGUGGAGGAAAUCAUUAAAGUAAUGCUCAGUUCGGAUUGAAGGCUGCAACUCGCCUUCAUGAAGUUGGAAUCGCUAGUAAUGGCGCAUCAGCUACGGCGCCGUGAAUACGUUCCCGGGCCUUGUACACACCG